GACGAACGCUGGCGGCGUGCUUAACACAUGCAAGUCGAACGGAAAGGCCCUGCUUUUGUGGGGUGCUCGAGUGGCGAACGGGUGAGUAACACGUGAGUAACCUGCCCUUGACUUUGGGAUAACUUCAGGAAACUGGGGCUAAUACCGGAUAGGAGCUCCUGCUGCAUGGUGGGGGUUGGAAAGUUUCGGCGGUUGGGGAUGGACUCGCGGCUUAUCAGCUUGUUGGUGGGGUAGUGGCUUACCAAGGCUUUGACGGGUAGCCGGCCUGAGAGGGUGACCGGCCACAUUGGGACUGAGAUACGGCCCAGACUCCUACGGGAGGCAGCAGUGGGGAAUAUUGCACAAUGGGCGGAAGCCUGAUGCAGCAACGCCGCGUGCGGGAUGACGGCCUUCGGGUUGUAAACCGCUUUCGCCUGUGACGAAGCGUGAGUGACGGUAAUGGAUAAAGAAGCACCGGCUAACUACGUGCCAGCAGCCGCGGUGAUACGUAGGGUGCGAGCGUUGUCCGGAUUUAUUGGGCGUAAAGAGCUCGUAGGUGGUUGAUCGCGUCGGAAGUGUAAUCUUGGGGCUUAACCCUGAGCGUGCUUUCGAUACGGGUUGACUUGAGGAAGGUAGGGGAGAAUGGAAUUCCUGGUGGGGCGGUGGAAUGCGCAGACAUCAGGAGGAACACCAGUGGCGAAGGCGGUUCUCUGGGCCUUUCCUGACGCUGAGGAGCGAAAGCGUGGGGAGCGAACAGGCUUAGAUACCCUGGUAGUCCACGCUGUAAACGGUGGGUACUAGGUGUGGGGUCCAUUCCACGGGUCCCGUGCCGUAGCUAACGCUUUAAGUACCCCGCCUGGGGAGUACGGCCGCAAGGCUAAAACUCAAAGGAAUUGACGGGGCCCCGCACAUGCGGCGGAGCAUGCGGAUUAAUUCGAUGCAACGCGUAGAACCUUACCUGGGUUUGACAUGGAUCGGGAGUGCUCAGAGAUGGGUGUGCCUCUUUUGGGGUCGGUUCACAGGUGGUGCAUGGCUGUCGCCAGCUCGUGUCGUGAGAUGUUGGGUUAAGUCCCGCAACGAGCGCAACCCUUGUUCACUGUUGCCAGCACGUUAUGGUGGGGACUCAGUGGAGACCGCCGGGGUCAACUCGGAGGAAGGUGGGGAUGACGUCAAGUCAUCAUGCCCCUUAUGUCCAGGGCUUCACGCAUGCUACAAUGGCUGGUACAGAGAGUGGCGAGCCUGUGAGGGUGAGCGAAUCUCGGAAAGUCGGUCUCAGUUCGGAUUGGGGUCUGCAACUCGACCUCAUGAAGUCGGAGUCGCUAGUAAUCGCAGAUCAGCAACGCUGCGGUGAAUACGUUCCCGGGGCU
rnacentral:rRNA from 1 species